UGGUAGAGGAGUUGGUUUGGCAUUUCAUCUGCCUUACCAACUGCUGCCAGCGAUCAUCUCUUACAACAUCGCUUUGAUAGAUAGAUCGCGAAAUCAGAAGAAUGGAAGCAGGCUAAUUUGGAUGGCAGUCACUUUCUCUAUUUGGAUUUGCAGGAAAAAUGCAGUAUUUGGCAAUGUGAUCCCUGACGCUUGAGAGGCAUUCGGAUUGGUUCAAUACAGAUCCUGGAAAUGGCUCCAAGCAAAGGUCAUUUUCAAAUUCUGUUUCUUGGCACUCCUUGCUGUUUGUGGCUACUUGGCUGGGUCACUCCUGUGCUUUUUAAAUAUUGUGUUGCCCAUUACUUCGAUUCUAGAGAAGCCCAACGGAAAUGAUGAGAAGUCUCACAAAAAACUGCAAGGCUACAAGUGUGUGCUACAUUGCGAAGAAUAUACAGAAGAAUCUCUAAGGUGUCAUUGUGUCAAGCGGUUGGUUAUUCUUUUCCAAAUUCAACAAGCUAGUUGGCAAAGGAUGAGAAUUUUGUCUUUAUCCAAUGAAAUUUCAAAUUUCCAAUUGACAUCAUAAUCCCCCAAUAUCACAAUUCUUUAGGAGGAAUUUAUUUGCAGCCAAAAAUUAAGUCAGUUAAAAUCAGUUCCGGCCAGACUCAACUCGAUGUGGUGAG